AGACCCCAAAGAGUCUCCAUCUGCAAAGAACAAACUUAUCACUGGAGUUGGAGGAUUUGUCCUUGGUACAAUCUUCAUCUUAGUUGGACUGUUUGUCUAUCUGAGAAAUAAGAAAGGUGAAACUCGUAUCCCACUUCCUCAAACUGAAGGUCUAAUGAGCUAAACUGAGUGCCACAAUGCAAAAGAAGGAAAAAAAAAGACUUCAGUUCACUAACCAGAUUUUGCCUCACGUGAUCAAUGUUUAUGUGCAAAAACUUCAGAUUUGCUGUUGGUGUUUCAUUUUUGGAUUCCUGACAUCAACUUCCUUAAAUUCUUUAAUUUUCAGUAGAUAUCUUUUCAGUACUGAUUUAUAUUACAGAGAAUGUUUAAAGCUCAUUUAAAUUAGAUGUACUAAAAGGUAAUUAUUUCUUUGCCUUGGUAUGUUGAGUAUUUUCUGUACACCCUUUCCUAUUAUAAUUGUAACUGUGUAAGUAUGAAUAGAAGAAUUAAGUAGGAAUAUUGUAGGACUCAAUAGUGAUGCAGAUUGCAUGUCACCCUUGUCUUGGAGUGGGGUUAAGCUGUUACAAAAACGGUUUCAUUGCCAGCAUGCAAGUAAGGGCAUGAAGUACCUUCAUGGCUGCCUGAAUUAUUUCCCCCUGCAGAGAGGUCUCCACUUGGAUGACAUUUCCAGGUGAAGGAAUAAAUGGGCCAUGUCCAUUUGAGGGAACUUGAUGGAUGUUUAGCAGGCCUGUUGCAAAAUUCACAUAAAAAAUAAGAAUUUUAUCCAAGUAAGGAUUUGCAAUACAUAGUAUUUCUAUGAGCCUGUUAUGUUUAAUGAUCUUAGUACAAUCAGCCAAGGAAAGAAUUCAUGAUUAUCAAGGUUUUCAGACAGCAUAUUUCUCCUAUUUGUAGUCAUACACUUUUGUAUAAUAGACUUUAUGAAAUAAAUAUUGAUAAACAGUUAUAGUCUCAUAGCAUACCUUAUAUACAUAAACAUAAAUAAAAACAGUUUUGAUUAACUAAAAGGAAUCUUUUAUUGAGCCAUUAAAAUGAAAGAUAAGCACUUUCAUCUCCUAAACUAUUUUCAAGAAAUGUAGACAUCAGAGCAAGUCAGUCAAAUGAUUUUGGAAUUAACAACUGAAGAAUUGCAUCUAUUUUGGUCUGUACUAAACUGUACUAAGCAGUUACAUCACUUUUUCCCUUGAAAUUUUGAACUGCAAUAACCCUAUCCUGUGCCACUAUCUUUGUAUCUUAGUGUAUGAUAUCUGCACAGCUGUGUAUAAACAGAAAGGUACUGAGAAACUUUCAAAUGUGCACAUUAUUCCUACCUUUCACGCCCUCACAAUUCAUUUGUGAGCUAAGACAUUUAAUUAACAAACAUAUUUCAACUCUUUAUAAGCCGCGGUGGUGCAGCGGUAGUGUUGUUGCCUCACAGCAAGAGGUUCUCCUGUUUGAUUC